AGUGAACGCUGGCGGUAGGCCUAACACAUGCAAGUCGAACGGCAGCACAGUAAGAGCUUGCUCUUACGGGUGGCGAGUGGCGGACGGGUGAGGAAUACAUCGGAAUCUACUUUUUCGUGGGGGAUAACGUAGGGAAACUUACGCUAAUACCGCAUACGACCUACGGGUGAAAGCAGGGGAUCUUCGGACCUUGCGCGAUUGAAUGAGCCGAUGUCGGAUUAGCUAGUUGGCGGGGUAAAGGCCCACCAAGGCGACGAUCCGUAGCUGGUCUGAGAGGAUGAUCAGCCACACUGGAACUGAGACACGGUCCAGACUCCUACGGGAGGCAGCAGUGGGGAAUAUUGGACAAUGGGCGCAAGCCUGAUCCAGCCAUACCGCGUGGGUGAAGAAGGCCUUCGGGUCGUAAAGCCCUUUUGUUGGGAAAGAAAAGCAGCAGGUUAAUACCCCGCUGUUCUGACGGUACCCAAAGAAUAAGCACCGGCUAACUUCGUGC
rnacentral:rRNA from 1 species